UCGAUCCUAGCAAAUGACUAAAGAGAUGAUUUAAAUAAAAUUUUAACCAUUCAAAUGUCAUUUAAGAAUUUUGAGUCAAAUAAAAUAUAAUAAAGAUCAUGGAUUUUAAAAAACAUCUCUUAGGUUUCCAUAGUUACAUAUUAAAAUUUUGAAUCGAACAAAAUUUUGAAAUUAUACAGAUUUUUAAAAAGAGUUUAAUGGAACCAGAUAGCAGCAAAUAAGAGAUGCUUAUCCUUCCCC
rnacentral:lncRNA from 1 species